rnacentral:tRNA from 1 species
GGGUCUGUAGUUUAUCGGUAGAAUAUCUGCCUCCAGAGCAGAAGGGAGGGGUUCAAUUCCCUUCAGGCCCA